rnacentral:rRNA from 1 species
GAAUAUUGGACAAUGGGCGCAAGCCUGAUCCAGCAAUACCGCGUGUGUGAAGAAGGCCUGAGGGUUAUAAAGCACUUUCAAUUGGGAGGAAAACCUGCCGGUCAAUACCCGGCGGCUUGACAUUACCUUUAGAAGAAGCACCGGCUAACUCCGUGCCAGCAGCCGCGGUAAUACGGAGGGUGCGAGCGUUAAUCGGAAUUACUGGGCGUAAAGCGUGCGUAGGCGGUUAUUUAAGUCAGAUGUGAAAGCCCCGGGCUUAACCUGGGAACUGCAUUUGAUACUGGGUAACUAGAGUUUAGUAGAGGAGAGUGGAAUUUCAGGUGUAGCGGUGAAAUGCGUAGAGAUCGGAAGGAACACCAGU